rnacentral:rRNA from 1 species
UACGAAGGGGGCUAGCGUUGCUCGGAAUUACUGGGCGUAAAGGGCGCGUAGGCGGAUGUCUAAGUUGGGGGUGAAAUCCCGGGGCUCAACCUCGGAAUUGCCUUCAAAACUGGAUAUCUUGAGUUCGGGAGAGGUGAGUGGAACUCCGAGUGUAGAGGUGAAAUUCGUAGAUAUUCGGAAGAACACCAGUGGCGAAGGCGACUCACUGGCCCGAUACUGACGCUGAGGCGCGAAAGCGUGGGGAGCAAACAGG